UUUUUAUUUUUUUUUUUUUUUUUUUUUUU
rnacentral:ribozyme from 14 species